rnacentral:rRNA from 1 species
AGUGAACGCUGGCGGUAGGCCUAACACAUGCAAGUCGAACGGCAGCACAGUAAGAGCUUGCUCUUACGGGUGGCGAGUGGCGGACGGGUGAGGAAUACAUCGGAAUCUACUUUUUCGUGGGGGAUAACGUAGGGAAACUUACGCUAAUACCGCAUACGACCUACGGGUGAAAGCAGGGGAUCUUCGGACCUUGCGCGAUUGAAUGAGCCGAUGUCGGAUUAGCUAGUUGGCGGGGUAAAGGCCCACCAAGGCGACGAUCCGUAGCUGGUCUGAGAGGAUGAUCAGCCACACUGGAACUGAGACACGGUCCAGACUCCUACGGGAGGCAGCAGUGGGGAAUAUUGGACAAUGGGCGAAAGCCUGAUCCAGCCAUACCGCGUGGGUGAAGAAGGCCUUCGGGUUGUAAAGCCCUUUUGUUGGGAAAGAAAAGCUGCAUGUUAAUACAUCGCUGUUCUGACGGUACCCAAAGAAUAAGCACCGGCUAACUUCGUG